rnacentral:rRNA from 1 species
UCCUGGCUUAGGACGAACGCUGGCGGCGUGCCUAAUACAUGCAAGUCGAACGGCUUUUCUAUGGAAGCUUGCUUCCACUGAGAAGAUAGUGGCGAACGGGUGAGUAACACGUGGGUAACCUGCCCAUAAGAGGGGGAUAACAUCCGGAAACGGGUGCUAAUACCGCAUAGUUUUCUUGAUCGCAUGAUCGGGAAAGGAAAGACGGCCUUUGUGCUGUCGCUUAUGGAUGGGCCCGCGGCGUAUUAGUUAGUUGGUGAGGUAACGGCUCACCAAGACGAUGAUACGUAGCCGACCUGAGAGGGUGAUCGGCCACAUUGGGACUGAGACACGGCCCAAACUCCUACGGGAGGCAGCAGUAGGGAAUCUUCCGCAAUGGACGAAAGUCUGACGGAGCAACGCCGCGUGAGUGAAGAAGGUUUUUCCGGAUCGUAAAACUCUGUUGUCAGAGAAGAACAAGUUGGAGAGUAACUGCUCCAGCCUUGACGGUAUCUGACCAGAAAGCCACGGCUAACUACGUGCCAGCAGCCGC